UUGUAUGAUAAUUUAUAAAGCAUUCACUAAGAUGUAUUCUUGAAUAUAAUUGAUUUCAUUCUUCAACAGUUCAAAAUCAAGUUCAUCUUCAUUUGAGUUAAUUCCACUUCCAAAAACCAUUUUUUUAGGGAGGGGUUUCUAAACUGUAAUACUUCUGCCAUGAUCGUCGAAUCUGAAAUAACGUUGAAGACGUUGUCAGAACCAUAGUUUCGGAGGGAUAUGGGAUUAAAUAUUUCAUCUCCAUUUUAAAGUCUAACACUUUACACUUCCUAACAAAGAACAGAAA